GCCGACGUAGCUCAGCUGGUAGAGCACUUCACUCGUAAUGAAGGGGCCCCCUCUGGGGCCGGUGCUGUUUCUCCGCGCGAUCGCAGGGUUUAUCGGGGUGGCGGCAUUUGACGCUUGUCGGCA
rnacentral:tRNA from 1 species